CCCGGCCCCGCCCACUACGCUGGUUUUGCUGGUUGUCUCGGUUGCUGGUGGUGUGGGACCCGGGAAUUUCCAGAAUCUUCUUGUCCCGGCUUUCAGAGCCAGCUGACACUUCACUCUUCUCAGCACCAACCCUUGAUAGGUGCGAACCGGUUGUAUUUCCUGGGCGAGGAGGGAACGGCUCCUUAAAGAAGAAAUGCACUGGUCAGCUGGGGAGGAGCUUUUCAAAUCAGAAAAGAGUCUGGAGCGGACCGGGAGUCCGCGCUCCGUGGACAAAGACCUGUUCGCGCCGCCUCCAGAGCUCACACCCUAGUGGGAAACUUGCAGUCUGCUCAAGUCAGGAGCCUACGUAUCCCCAUGAACUAGAACUCCGGAGGCAAGACCAGGUAACAUAAAAGGCUAGGUGGAGAAUGAAGUUACGAAGAGAAAAUGAGCAAGAUUUUUUCUCUUGCCAAUUCCAUUGGUUGCCAGUAACACAAGUCCAGCUGCUGUUUUAACAUUCCUAUCACGGUACAGCUUGGAUCCCAUCAGAAAACUGACAUGGGAAGGAUCCUAAGAAAUAGUCAUCUCGAAUCAAUGAAGUUCUGAAAUUGUUACUGAGGAAUUCAGUGCAUAGCAGGUGUGAUUCCAGUGAAGAUGGGAUGAGACAGAUGUCUAUUAUUAGAGACUCAUAGGGCAUAAAGCAGACAGAUGUGUCACAAUAAACAUGGAUAGUAAGUAAUCAGCAAAGACACCAAUUUUUGUCCGAUUUGUUUACUGCUGUAUCUCCAGUAAUGGAACAGUAAGCACCAUGCAGGCACUCAGUGAAUAUUUGUCAGUGAAUAGUCUACAUCAGAGGUGCGUUGGGAGAGCACGGAAGAGUGGCACUGCAUCAGAGGAGUCAGGGCAGGCCCGUGAAUGCUGUGGCAGAACUUCCAGAGGAUGUGUCCUGCUCCCUGAGUUCAGCACCAGGCUAGCUCCUGGGAGUUGUUAGCAGCGCUCAGAGAGCAGGAUGGAGACCUCAGCACAAUGCUGUCUCAUUGUAAGAAAAUGCAAAUCUUGCUCAUUUUAAACAGAUUUAGAAGUCUCAUGUACAAACUUUGAAAAAAAUACGAAUCUCAUCCCCAAUUAAAAAUUUUUUUUCAAGAAUUGUGUAAUUUCGGGAGUGCCCUCUUAAUUGCUAGAUGGAAUGCUGCGCAAUUCAUGAUAAAGCCAAAGAGAUCUUCAAAUUAGAAAAUAAUAAUUGUAAUUUCUAUGCAGGCAGACUCGAGGGACUGCACAUGUCAUUUACUACUCUGCCAUGUGGCGGCGCUGCUGCCACUGUAAACAAACACCCACCAUCCUUUGUAGGUGUCUGUUGGACACACUCAGAACUCCUGUGAGUGGUCUUGCUGCUCUUGUCAGCUUUGUUGUUACAGUUAAACAUCAUCCUAACAUCCUGUCACUGUCAACCAAUUUUUCAGUGUGCAAUUGUGUUCGUGCUAGUGUUGAAAAAUAACUUAGAAAGGGAAGUUAAACGUGGAAAAACCAUAGCAUGCUCUUGUUCAUUUAAGAAGGAAUAGUCCACAAAAUACUAGAUUAAAAAUAUUAGGUAUAAUGUUAGAGAUAAUACCUUUACAGUCAGGCUUGCUCUGCUUCUCCAGGAGGGCAGGGACAGGGCUAGUACAGUGCCUGGCACACAGUAGACAAACAAUAAAUAUCUGUGAAAUAAAUAAUAAAAGCAUGGAAGAUGGUGACCUUACAGCUCCCACCCAUAUAUCCUCUCAGUUUUACCUCUACACAGUAACUAACAAAAAGCUCCUGAAACCAAACUCCAAAAUCGCAGGGUUGAAUUCCUGAGUAGGCCAGCGCAGGUCAGCUGCUCAUUCUUGGUAUAACCAGCUGUGCCCAGGGAAAAAAAUGCCACAAGAGUACAAAUGGCUCCCAGAGGCCUAGGUGGGAUAAAUGAAGGUUUUCAGGGGUGGGGGGAGGGAGGUGUGAGCCAAAACUAACUGGAAUGUAAGAAUAAUACAAUACACAAUUAUUUUUCAAAUGUUUAGGGUUGUUGCUGUGAUUUAUAAGAUACAAUUUGUUUCAUUGUGGUAAAAUACACAUAACAUAAAAAUUGCCAUCUUAACCAUUUUUAAAUGUACGGUCUAGUGGCAUUAAGUGCCUUCACAUUGUUGUGUGAACCAUCACCACCAUCCAGCUCCAGAACUUUUUCAUCUUCCCAAACUGAAACUCUGGACUCAUUAAAUAAUAACUUCCCAAUCACCCUUGCCCCCAACCCCAGCAAACCAUCAUUCUGAGUUUCUGUCUCUAUAAAUUUGACUAUGUAUCUCGUAGAAGUGAAAUCAUACAGUAUUAUGAUUUUUGUGACAGGCUUAUUUCACUUAGCAUAACGUCCUCAAGGUUCAUCUGGAAUGUAGCAUGUGUGAGAUUCCUUCCUUUUCAAGGCUGGCUAAUAUUCCAUUGCAUGUCUGUGCCACAUUUUAUCUGCUCAUCCGUGGAUGGCAUUUGGGCUGCUUCCAGCUCUUGGCGGUUGUAAAUAGUGCUGCUAUGAAUAUUGUCAAAGCAUUCUUGAAUUAAGCAUACUCUCCAUCAAUGGUCCUAAAGGCACUUCUCCUAUCAUGUCGGGACCACCACUGGUUUCCUCAUGCUUGGCACCUUUUUGAAUCUUAGAAUAGGAGUAUGUGCCAAGGAUUGAGAUCAGUGUGGUGGUACAUCUGGAAAUAAUUCCUGGGAAGAAAGAAUGAUACAAAAUCAAGUUGUCAGCCUGGAGAAGAGCAGACUUGAUGAAGCUAUGGGAGCUGUUUGCAAGGAGUAAAAACUUGCCUUGUCGCUCCCCAAGGCAGAUGAGGAAGCAGUAGAUGGAGACACAGAGCAAGAUUUUCUGAUUUCAACUCAGUGUAUAAGUUAAUUUUUAACCUCUAGAACUGUUUAACAAUGCAACAAUCUCAUUAAAUAAGUAUUUCCCUGUUGAAAUACACAGACAGAAGCUGACUGAUUGUAGGAAUUAUUCCAGAAUUUGGAGGAGAGUUGUAAGAGCUAUAUUUGGGCUCUAGGAUUUCUUUCACCCCGACGUUAUUUGUCUUUCUAAUGCUUGAAGCAUCAGAAAAGACAAAAAACGGCCAGAGCUGUAGUUUCCUAAGUAAUUAUACAGUGUAAACUUAGUUUACACUGAUAUUUGUUAGUAUUGCGUCCUCUAGAUGAAGCUGGAAUCUGAGAAGCUGUGGCAUGCAGUGGUAAGGAAAUGGCUUUCACAGUCACAGUCUUUCCCCCGUAGCCAUCAAUGCAGAUUGCUGGUCCA